rnacentral:rRNA from 1 species
AUGUACAUACCUACAACAUAGCAUUAAUGCACAGGAUCCCAUUAGAACUCCCCAGUUAAGAAUGCUUGGGCUAGAGUAGUACUAGGAUGGGUGACUACUCAAGAAGUCCUAGUGUUUUACAUU